UACGAAGGGGGCUAGCGUUGCUCGGAAUCACUGGGCGUAAAGGGCGCGUAGGCGGACUUUUAAGUCGGGGGUGAAAGCCCAGGGCUCAACCCUGGAAUUGCCUUCGAUACUGAGAGUCUUGAGUUCGGAAGAGGUUGGUGGAACUGCGAGUGUAGAGGUGAAUUCGUAGAUAUUCGCAAGAACACCAGUGGCGAAGGCGGCCAACUGGUCCGAUACUGACGCUGAGGCGCGAAAGCGUGGGGAGCAAAGCAGGG
rnacentral:rRNA from 1 species